AACGUAGGAGACAAACGUUAUCCGGAGUUACUGGGCGUAAAGGGCGCGUAGGCGGCGGGGUAAGUCGGGUGUGAAAUCUCAGGGCUCAACCCUGAAACUGCACUUGAUACUGCUCUGCUUGAGGACUGGAGAGGAGACUGGAAUUCACGGUGUAGCAGUGAAAUGCGUAGAUAUCGUGAGGAAGACCAGUGGCGAAGGCGGGUCUCUGGACAGUUCCUGACGCUGAGGCGCGAAGGCCAGGGGAGCAAACGGG
rnacentral:rRNA from 1 species